AAAAUUGAUAUUUUCAGAAAUGGACUAAAAAAUAAAUAAUUCAUACUUUUCAGAAAGUGCGUGGUCGGAGUUCUCCUUGGAACUUCCUUCAAGGGCACCGUCGACGUCACUAACAGCUACGCACGCAGUGCCUUUUGAAGAAGAUGAAAGGGACCAUAGCAUCUGGUUUCUUGAUCAUAACUACCAUGAAUCAAUGUUUUCCAUGUCCAGAAGAAUAAAUGCCAAGGAGCAUGUUGUGGGCUGGUAUAGCACUGGUCCAAAACUAAAGGAAAAUGAUCUGAGUGUACAUGGUCUUUUCAGUGAGUAAGAUCUCUUUCUAAUACUGUUAUAUUUUCCUUCGGGCUGAUUCAUAACAGAUGUUUCUGUUUGCUGGUUAGUUGCUGCUGGUUUUUGUUGUUCAUGACCUUAUUAGAGACAAUAUCAUGUUAAAAAAGAUUCCUUUCAAGCAUGGAACACAAAC